AAUAGAUACCCGGGUAGUCCACGCCGUAAACGAUGAAUACUAGGUGUCGGAGGGUACCACCUUCGGUGCCGCAGCAAACGCAAUAAGUAUUCCGCCUGGGGAGUACGGUCGCAAGAUUAAAACUCAAAGGAAUUGACGGGGACCCGCACAAGCAGCGGAGCAUGUGGUUUAAUUCGAAGCAACGCGAAGAACCUUACCUAGACUUGACAUCUCCUGAAUUACUCGUAACGGAGGAAGCCCUUCGGGGCAGGAAGACAGGUGGUGCAUGGUUGUCGUCAGCUCGUGUCGUGAGAUGUUGGGUUAAGUCCCGCAACGAGCGCAACCCUUAUUGUUAGUUGCUACCAUUAAGUUGAGCACUCUAACGAGACUGCCGCGGUUAACGUGGAGGAAGGUGGGGAUGACGUCAAAUCAUCAUGCCCCUUAUGUCUAGGGCUACACACGUGCUACAAUGGCCGGUACAAUAAGAUGCAAUCCCGUGAGGGGAGCUAAACUCAAAAGCCGGUCCCAGUUCGGAUUGUAGGCUGAAACUCGCCUACAUGAAGUUGGAGUU
rnacentral:rRNA from 1 species